GACAGAGGUCCCGAGCGUUAGGCGGAAUCACUGGGCUUAAAGCGUGUGUAGGCGGAUUUGUAAGUACCUUGUGAAAUCCCACGGCUUAACCGUGGAACUGCUUGGUAUACUGGUUGUCUUGGGCCAUCUAGGGGCUACUGGAACAAACGGUGGAGCGGUGAAAUGCGUAGAUAUCGUGUGGAACGCCAAUGGUGAAAACAAGUAGCUGGGGAUGUGCCGACGCUGAGACACGAAAGCCAGGGGAGCGAACGGG
rnacentral:rRNA from 1 species